CCUACGGGAGGCAGCAGUGGGGGAUAUUGCACAAUGGGGGGAACCCUGAUGCAGCGACGCCGCGUGGGUGAAGAAGCGCCUCGGCGCGUAAAGCCCUGUCAGCAGGGAAGAAAAUGACGGUACCUGAAGAAGAAGCCCCGGCUAACUACGUGCCAGCGGCCGCGGUAAUACGGAGGGGGCAAGCGUUAUCCGGAUUUACUGGGUGUAAAGGGGGCGCAGACGGCGAUGCAAGCCAGGAGUGAAAGCCCGGGCCCAACCCCGGGACUGCUCUUGGAACUGCGUGGCUGGAGUGCAGGAGGGGCAGGCGGAAUUCCUGGUGUAGCGGUGAAAUGCGUAGAUAUCAGGAGGAACACCGGUGGCGAAGGCGGCCUGCUGGACUGCAACUGACGUUGAGGCACGAAAGCGUGGGGAGCAAACAGGAUUAGAUACCCGUGUAGUC
rnacentral:rRNA from 1 species